GCUAUGCUGUCCGGCUAUGUCCGUGCAAGUGCGGAUUUAGCUGUAACUUUCGAGGGGCAGCACUCUUGUGCAGAUAAAUGGGAUACUAUUAAGUUUAUGAGAAUUUCAAUAUUAUAUAUGUUCCCGUCUAUCACAAGACAUCAGUUACUGAGCAUAUUUUGCUGGAAAGGGAAUAUGCUGAAGUAAUGAUGAAUCAUGAACCGCCUCAGGCUGGAAACAGAGCAGGGUAAGUGGUCGCUGAUGUACGGUGUGAAGAUUACGGUUGAACAUUAAGAUAUUUCAGAAUUCUCGUAAACGUAAU